rnacentral:sRNA from 2 species
GCAUAACGCCUCUAGGGUUCCGGCUUUCCCAAGCGUCAGGUCCGAGAGAGGCUCUCCCGCCUCGCGAGCAGCGCGGCGGAGCCACGGCGGGAUAAAAGCCCGGGAGAC